UAUCCCACUCUCUCUGUCGUCUGUCCUGACAGCUUGUCCCUCGUCAUCCACUAUUGCUCCGCCGUUGUCUCACCGCCAAACUAAUGCCAGUCACUCUUCUUGGCGUGAUCAGUCUUUCACCACAGUUGUCAACAUCUUCUCAUUGAUCAGAUGCUGGAAAUAGAUUAUUUGACUCCUAAAACUUAUGGACUGAGCAAUCCAACCAUCAACGUUGAUUCUUCAAUGGUGAACAGACUAAAACAAUGAAAAAUGAAAAAAACAAAAAAGAACUGUAUAAAUG
rnacentral:lncRNA from 1 species